AGUAGUUUGACUCCUGGCUCGAGGACGACGCUGGCGGCGCGCCUAACACAUGCAAGUCGAACGGAGAGCGUAUUUUGAAUUCUUCGGAAGGAAGAUACGUUCUUAGUGGCGGACGGGUGAGUAACACGUGAGCAACCUGCCUUGCAGAGAGGGAUAACGAUUGGAAACGAUCGCUAAUACCACAUAACAUAUGAAUAUCGCAUGAUGACCAUAUCAAAGAUUUAUCGCUGCAAGAUGGGCUCGCGUCUGAUUAGAUAGUUGGUGAGGUAACGGCUCACCAAGUCGACGAUCAGUAGCCGGACUGAGAGGUUGAACGGCCACAUUGGGACUGAGACACGGCCCAGACUCC
rnacentral:rRNA from 1 species